rnacentral:rRNA from 1 species
UACGUAGGGUGCAAGCGUUGUCCGGAAUUAUUGGGCGUAAAGAGCUCGUAGGCGGUCUGUCGCGUCGGCUGUGAAAACCUGGGGCUCAACUCCGGGCCUGCAGCCGAUACGGGCAGACUAGAAUUCGGUAGGGGAGACUGGAAUUCCUGGUGUAGCGGUGAAAUGCGCAGAUAUCAGGAGGAACACCGGUGGCGAAGGCGGGUCUCUGGGCCGAUAUUGACUGAGGAGCGAAAGCAUGGGGGAGCGAACAGG